UUGUGAAUUUUAUUAACAUUAAAUCGUCCUCCUCCCAUUUUCACCUCAAAAUUAUGGGGAAGCUGUGCCUUCCCUGCCUCCCCCGACCAGCCGCCACUGUUUGUGUGUGUGUGUGAACAUAAUUC